UACGAAGGGGGGCUAGCGUUGUUCGGAAUCACUGGGCGUAAAGGGCGCGUAGGCGGCUUUAUAAGUCGGGGGUGAAAUCCUGGAGCUCAACUCCAGAACUGCCUUCGAUACUGGCGAUCUCGAGUUCGGGAGAGGUGAGUGGAACUGCGAGUGUAGAGGUGAAAUUCGUAGAUAUUCGCAAGAACACCAGUGGCGAAAGGCGGCUCACUGGCCCGAUACUGACGCUGAGGUGCGAAAGCGUGGGGAGCAAACAGG
rnacentral:rRNA from 1 species